rnacentral:rRNA from 1 species
UACGUAGGGGGCUAGCGUUGUCCGGAUUUAUUGGGCGUAAAGAGCGUGUAGGCGGCCAGGUAGGUCUGCUGUGAAAACUCGAGGCUCAACCUCGAGACGUCGGCGGAAACCAUCUGGCUAGAGUCCGGAAGAGGAGAGUGGAAUUCCUGGUGUAGCGGUGAAAUGCGCAGAUAUCAGGAAGAACACCCGUGGCGAAGGCGGCUC